UACGUAGGGUGCGAGCGUUGUCCGGAAUUAUUGGGCGUAAAGGGCUCGUAGGCGGUCUGUCACGUCGGGUGUGAAAACUCGGGGCUUAACCCCGAGCCUGCUUCCGAUACGGGCAGACUAGAGGUAUGCAGGGGAGAACGGAAUUCCUGGUGUAGCGGUGAAAUGCGCAGAUAUCAGGAGGAACACCGGUGGCGAAGGCGGUUCUCUGGGCAUUACCUGACGCUGAGGAGCGAAAGCAUGGGGAGCAAAAGGG
rnacentral:rRNA from 1 species